UCAAUAGAGGCGCGGAGGACAGGGUACCUAUCCGAUCGGUCGGGCAGCCGGAACACGUCGGACGGGGAAGGGGUUUUCCGCCGAAAGGACGAGGACCGGCCCAUCUUCGCCUUGGGGGCGCCGUGUAAGCGGCGCAACUGUCAUGUGUCUGCAUGGAGCGCUAUUGGU
rnacentral:ncRNA from 1 species